UACGUAGGGCGCAAGCGUUGUCCGGAAUUAUUGGGCGUAAAGAGCUCGUAGGCGGCUUGUCACGUCGGAUGUGAAAGCCCGGGGCUUAACCCCGGGUCUGCAUUCGAUACGGGCUAGCUAGAGUGUGGUAGGGGAGAUCGGAAUUCCUGGUGUAGCGGUGAAAUGCGCAGAUAUCAGGAGGAACACCGGUGGCGAAGGCGGAUCUCUGGGCCAUUACUGACGCUGAGGAG
rnacentral:rRNA from 1 species